rnacentral:lncRNA from 1 species
UUGCCAUCGGCCCAACGAUCGUCCACCUCUCGCAGUCCUGCACCCAACACCAGCUGUAGUUCUGUGAACUUUGCCCAUUUCUUCACGUGCCUGUGAAUCUCCUGAGGCUCCUGAAUCAUAAUAUUUACAAUGUAUUGCGAAUGAGUCUGGGACACAGAUUGGUAUGAUCUGAAAAUUGAUAGAGAGACGAGUACUUAACAGGUAGUGUCAUAGAGUAACUCUACAGGAAACCAUACCGGGAAGACCAGAGGAGCCUUUUGUUGUAUAAGUGAGAAGACCUCCACAAGCUGAGCCGCUGUGUCUGCUGGGAUAUCCUCGGCCGACAACACCUUCUGAACAAUCUCCUCCACAAAGGCGUUACACAGUAGACCUGUUAACAUCACAUACUUUGUAAUGUGGCUGUGUAAAUAUUAAUUUAUGUUUAGAGACUUUCGUUUGAUUAAUAGCUCAUAAUUAAGAAAGAAGAUAUGAUUUAUAAUAAAGUUUUGAUACUGCCUUCAAAUACCUCACUUUUAAGGGGUCUAAAAAUAAAGAUGUGAUUACACAAAUGCCCGAAUAUUAAACACACCUAGAAUAUAAUUUAUCAAUACAUAGUUGGUGUUAAAUUUAAUAACAGAUGAGUGAUUAAUUUUCAGUUUAAACCAUGAAAUCAACAUAUUAAAGUACAUUUUAAAAUGGAUUAAUAACAGAAAAUACUUACUUUAUUAAUAACAGAAAAUUUAUGAAAAAUUUACCUGAUGGUUGAGUUAUCAAAAUAUUUUAAAGUGAUAGGUUUUGGAUCAGCGUAACCUUCAGGGUUUUUUAACUUUUUCAAUAUAGGUAAUAUACAUAGAGUUUAGAGUAACAUACUAGAGUUUUAGACUAGGGGAAAAAGAACUCAAUUUAAAUAAUUUAUUUCUAUGUUGUGAGAUGAGAAGUAAAUUUUUGUUUGGUUGUGUACUGAUAUUGUGUAACCAAAUAUAUUCUAAAUUUAUAUUUUUAUACAAGUAAAUAAGAAUUUAAUAAUAAUUUAACACAGUAUGGAUGCGAUUGUUAGGAUUACAGUUAUCAAAAAUUCCGGCUCAUCCAAAGUAGAAUAAUAAGAAUGAAAUGUUUUUUGUAAUAUAGUUAUUAUUGGUAUAAAUCCAUUUUAAAACAAAAAGUUACUCAAUUAAACUUUGUAAUGGAUUAUUUUAUAUGUUACUACAGAAUGACAAUCAUAUAAACACUGUAAAAUGUCUUUUGUGAGUGUUAUGGCAGUGAACAAGUCAUAAAUAAGCAAGCCAGACUGUGUUGUCAGCUGUAGCGAUGUUCCGUGCACCCGCCAAGAUAUUUUUUUUGUUUAUACAGAUAAAUGUGUCUUACUUUGUAAACUUACCUACAUAACAGGAGAUAGCCUACGUGAUAUUACACAAUUAAGCUAUUAGCUUGCUUUCCGUUAAGGAUUGAUUACUGUAAAUGCGUACGUUCGUACGUAUGUGUGUGAUGUCGCUGUUCAGUUUCAGAUAUCAAUACUAACCAGAAGCAGUUAUAAUGGUGGUCUGCCUUACUAGAAAUUUCAAUUACUGAUAUCCGAAAUAGUCUUGAUUUCAUCGACUUCAGAUUAUCGAGCCCCUGGUGUAACAGUAGAGUCAGUCUUUUAAGUAAAUUACUAAAGGAAACAUAGUAAAAGGAGAUUUUUAACACUCUUAUGGCUGUCUUUUGCAGUUGGAGCAGUGGCUCAGGUACUCAAGCACAGCCACACAGUACAAUAAAAAAUAUUUCAAUAAUGAAAAAAUACCCAUAAUAAGUAAUUUUCAAUACUUUAGUCCUUCAACAUUCUUCAAACAUAGCAUGAUGAGCUUGGGCAUUUUUGUAACAUUUAUAUUUACCAUUCCAGCUUAUACUUUUAUUUAAAUUUAGUUAUAAAAUGUUUGUUUCUUAACUUCCCAAUUGUAACAUUAUUCAAACCCGAUUUAAUGUAGAGGGCUUCAAUUUUUGACUGUUUUUAAAUGCACUAAAUACAUUUCUGAAUUGUUAAGUUGCACACUAUCUCUUCUAAACUUUUCAUUUAACCCAAAUCGUGAAAUUCUUGCUGAUAUUCUUUGUUGGAGCUGUUCCGCCAGGAUCACCGUCUGUACUAUUCGUAUAGGCAUUCAUGUUGCUUGAAUUUCUAAAACUACAACUUCAUCAGCUUUGUGUUUUUUACGUCUGCAAACACAGGGUCAGCUAAGCCUCAUUUUAUGAUGCAAAAAAAUCACCUAAGAUUGCUGUUUGUAAUGAUAGACCAAUAAAAGGGGUUGAAUGUAACAAACCUCUUAUUUUUGAGAAGCAUGUAAAAUAAAACUGGACUUACACUUUGGAAGAACAAUAAAAAUGAAAUUUCAGUAGAUAUUUUGUGUUUUAUUCUUAAAAAACUAUUAUAAGUAUAAAUGCAUGUAGUGUAAAUACAUUGUAAUAGGACAGCCAAAAAUAAAAUAUAUAUAAUGCAAGCAAUUG